rnacentral:lncRNA from 10 species
UCACGAUUUGCUCCUCUGAUCAAAGAUCAUUUAUGCUUUCAUCAGUCAGCAUAUACAUAUUAAUAUCAACACAUUUUGCAUGCACAACAGAUUCUCACUUUUGAAAUCUUAAGUGCAUGUUUGAUGAAUCAUAGAUUCCUAGUUUCUUCAGUGUAUUUCUGUCAUGUGAGUGUCCUAAAGAAACAAACAAAAGAAAAUCUCCUAAACCUAAAGGAAUCAUUCUCAAAGCUGAGCAAGAGGACUCAGUUAGAUACUAUCACUGGGUUCAUUUGUGGUUGGUUUUGUUAUAUUUACCUAUGACUGAUAACAAAUCUCUUUUGCUUUAGAGUCUACUGAAAAGCCUUCUGACUUUGAGCCUGCCAUUGAAAUGCAAAACUCUGUUCCAAAUAAAGCUUUAGAAAGGAGGAAUAAACAAACAUUGAGAGCAGAUAAUAUGUUGACAUUAAAAUCAGGAAAAGAAACAUAUGCAGAAUCACGUUGGAGUUCUAAGAACUUCAAACAGGGUGUUUCAGAAAGUGCUGCACAGAAUUACACGUGUUUACCUGAGGCUACAUAUCAAGAAGAAGUCAAGAAUAUAAAAGGAAAAGUAAAGGGUAAGAAUAACUUUUUAUUUAGAAAUCAUUUGACGGUAUGUUUAUCUAAAAAUUUGAGGACUGUUAUACUGUAAUAGCCUCAGAACAUUACGCACUAAAUGCGUAGUAUAAAAAAAGCGAAUUAAAAUGGUAAUAAGUUACAUAUCUUGUCAGGUGUCAGCAACAGAGUAUAUAGAGAGUGCCGAAAAAGGAACUGAAUUAUUACUUUAAAUUCCAGAUAUUCUAAAACCUGAGGUAUCUCAGGAAAUAAGAGGAAAGACGUAAAAGAGGGAAUAAAGAAUGAGGAAG